GUGGGGAAUAUUGGGCAAUGGGGGAAACCCUGACCCAGCGACGCCGCGCGAGGGAAGACGGCCUUCGGGUUGUAAACCUCUUUUGUACGGGAAGAAGGAAGUGACGGUACUGUACGAAUAAGUCCCGGCUAACUACGUGCCAGCAGCCGCGGUAAUACGUAGGGGACGAGCGUUGUCCGGAAUUACUGGGCGUAAAGGGCGCGCAGGCUGUGCUGCAAGUCAGCUGUGAAAUGUCUGGGCUUAACCCGGGCAUGCGGUUGAGACUGCAGUGCUGGAGUGCUGUAGAGGCAAGUGGAAUGCCCAGUGUAGCGGUGAAAUGCGUAGAUAUUGGGAAGAACACCGGUGGCGAAGGCGACUUGCUGGGCAGCAACUGACGCUGAGGCGCGAAAGCCAGGGGAGCAAACGGGAUUAGAAACCCGUGUAGUCC
rnacentral:rRNA from 1 species